AAAUUGAAGAGUUUGAUCAUGGCUCAGAUUGAACGCUGGCGGCAGGCCUAACACAUGCAAGUCGAACGGUAACAGAAAGCAGCUUGCUGCUUUGCUGACGAGUGGCGGACGGGUGAGUAAUGUCUGGGAAACUGCCUGAUGGAGGGGGAUAACUACUGG
rnacentral:rRNA from 1 species